GCGAGAUAAUAAUAAUUUGCGCAUUAACAGUUAUUAUAAUAAUUAGAUUAAUUAUAACACUUAAAAUCUGAUCCUGGAUGAAGACCAUCAAACUAAACUGUACAAAUUGACAAAAGACUGAGAAAAGUACUCGCAGAUUGGAGAGAAAACCACUGAGGCGAGAAGUCCGAGUAAAAAGACGAGGGGCAAGAAAAUGAACGAAGUCGAGAAAGGAACAAAAUUUAACAUACGCCUGUAAUUUCGAACUCGGUCAUUGAUAAACGUCGAAAAUGUGCGGCCGCUAAAUGAAAAUUACAAGGAAAGGGGAAACGACUGCUUAUUAUUCUGAACGGAAUACAAAGAGGGGUGCAAAACAUAGUCGCGUAAACGUACCUUGCCGAGAUAUUAAAGAUAGAACGGAAACCGAAUCACUGUGAUUAAAAUGUCCGACAACUACAACGUAAUUUGUAUCAACACCUUGCACACUUCUUUUAAAUAACCUGUCAGAUAAUUUGCAACGACAACGAUUAUCCUUUUUUUAUAAUACAUGUGCUGGAAUAUUCCAGUAACGAUAUUGGCGAAACAUUGUCACCGAACGAAAGGCUUUCGUUUCGCUUCCGGAUACGAAUUACUCCACUUUUCUCCAGCAAACACUGGUUUCCUGCGGCUGAUUCGACUUCCUGCAAUGGCGUGCGCAUCUUUCACGUACGAAGAACAAUUUUAAACGGAC